rnacentral:rRNA from 1 species
UACGGAGGGUGCGAGCGUUAAUCGGAAUUACUGGGCGUAAAGCGUGCGCAGGCGGUCCGCAAAGUCUGAUGUGAAAGCCCCGGGCUCAACCUGGGAACUGCAUUGGAAACUAACGGGCUCGAGUGUGGCAGAGGGGGGUGGAAUUCCACGUGUAGCAGUGAAAUGCGUAGAGAUGUGGAGGAACACCGAUGGCGAAGGCAGCCCCCUGGGCUAACACUGACGCUCAGGCACGAAAGCGUGGGGAGCAAACAGG